GACGAACCGUGCGAACGUUGUUCGGAAUCACUGGGCUUAAAGGGCGCGUAGGCGGGCUCACAAGUCAGGGGUGAAAUCCCAGGGCUCAACCCUGGAACUGCCUUUGAUACUGACGAUCUGGAGAUCGGGAGAGGUUGGUGGAAUUCCGAGUGUAGAGGUGAAAUUCGUAGAUAUUCGGAGGAACACCAGAAGCGAAGGCGGCCAACUGGCCCGAUACUGACGCUGAGGCGCGAAAGCGUGGGGAGCAAACAGG
rnacentral:rRNA from 1 species